rnacentral:tRNA from 1 species
GGAGGGGUGGCAGAGUCUGGCUGAAUGCGGCGGUCUCGAAAACCGUUGCGCCUCUUACGGGGGCGCCGUGGGUUCAAAUCCCACCCCCUCCGCCA